rnacentral:miRNA from 1 species
UGUUGAAAUGCAGAUUCCUCAGCAUUUCCCCCCAAGAUUCCUGCUCAUUAAAUCCUGGGUGUAGUCCUGGAAUCUGCAUUUUAACAACUGCCUCGAGUGAUUCAGACCCAU